AAAAGAUUUCAGGAAAAAAUGGAGAAACAAGCAGAAAAUCCUGCAGGAAAGAUCCAUCCCUCGCGAGCUUUGCAUGUCGCGCGACCAGCGCAAGACAUGCGCACUCUGCACAUGUCCCAUCAGCACGGACUUCCCAUCGCGCACAGAUGGGCGCAGCUCCGUGCACCCUAUGCAGGAAUUGUUGGCACAGUAGGCCUACGUGGUAGGCCUGCUCGCUUAGGUUGAUGCGCGCAGCUGGUUGGGGCAGCAUGCGCUGCCUUGGGUAGUGCGUGCUGCCCCCUUGGGCACCGCGCACUACCUUCUGGCGGCGUGCAACCGUCAUUUGGGGGCGUGCCACUAGUUUUCGUGCCGUGGUCACACCGCAUUGUCCAUCUGUUGAUCACAUCA
rnacentral:lncRNA from 1 species